CACCGACAUGUCCAGACCACAUUUGCACAUGGUUGAUAAAUUAGGAAUAUUUUGCAAACAUAUUAAUAGUUGGUUUGGAUAAAUCGACGCCAACAUGAAAAGACACUAAAUAGGCCAUUUUUCAAAGCAGAUGUCACCGACAUGUCGAGACCACAUUUGCACAUGGUUGAUAAAUUAGGAAUAUUUUGCGAACAUAUUAAUAGUUGGUUUGGAUAAAUCGACGCCAACAUGAAAAGACACUAAAUAGGCCAUUUUUCAAAGCAGAUGUCACCGACAUGUCGAGACCACAUUUGCACA